UACGUAGGGGGCUAGCGUUGUCCGGAAUCAUUGGGCGUAAAGCGCGCGUAGGCGGCCCGGUAAGUCCGCUGUAAAAGUCAAAGGCUCAACCUUUGAAUGUCAGUGGAUACUGCCGGGCUAGAGUCCGGAAGAGGCGAGUGGAACUCCUGGUGUAGCGGUGGAAUGCGCAGAUAUCAGGAAGAACACCGACGGCGAAGGCAGCUCGCUGGGACGGUACUGACGCUGGAGGCGCGAAAGCGUGGGGAGCGAACAGG
rnacentral:rRNA from 1 species